rnacentral:tRNA from 1 species
GGCAUAUAGCUCAGUUGAUAGAGUGCUUGCCUCCACGUACAAGGUCCUGGGUUCAAUCCCCAGCACCA